UGCUUGUCUCAAAGAUUAAGCCAUGCAUGUCUAAGUCCAAGCUGUGUUCACACGGCGAGACCGCGGACGGCUCAUUAAAUCAGUCGUGGUCCAAAUGGGCCAGUGCAAAUCCUACUUGGAUAACUGUGGUAAUUCCAGAGCUAAUACAUGCAACUGAUAUCCCGAAGGCGGUGUUGGGGCUUGCUUGCCUUGCGCUGCGCUGCUCUGACGGAUGCUUUUAUUAGACCAAGCCGCUGAGGACUUGAGGGUUCGCGCUCUCUUGUUUGACUCGUGUGAUGGUGACUCUGGAUAACCAAAUUCUGACAAGCGCACGUACUUCUCUUCUGAGCGAGACGGCGCUGCCACUUUCGAGUGUCUGCCUUAUCAGCUAUCAACCGUUCGUUAUGCGCGACCGAUGGCUUUGACGGGUAACGGGGAAUCAGGGUUCGAUUCCGGAGAGGCAGCCUGAGAGACGGCUACCACGUCCAAGGACGGCAGCAGGCACGCAAAUUACCCAAUCCCAGCAAAUGGGGGAGGUAGUGACGAAAUCUAACGAUGCGGGCGCCCUUUCUGGGGCCCCGCAAUCGGAAUGGGCACUUUCUAAACAACCUGUUGAGAACCUACUGA
rnacentral:rRNA from 1 species